GUCAUUGAGUCAGACUCUGAGGAAAGAGGUAGUGGAGCAGAAGCAGAAGGCCCAGAAACCAAACCCUCUUCUUCCUCCGGCCAAGAAAGACCCGGUGCAGUACGUCUCUGAGACAGAUUCAGACAGUGAUAACUUCCUGUCUCUGAAGAAGUCCCAGGCUAAACCCCAGGGAAUGGCGUGACCAAACCAGGAAGGCCCGCACCGGGACCAAAGAGCAGCACAAGGUCCCCCCGAAACCAACCCCUGGCCCGCCACCGGAAAGGAGGAUAAAGAAGUCUCCUCCAGCCCCCGUCACCCCUAAAUCAGCGCCCCCGCAGACCAAACGCACCCCCACCUCUGUCAUGGACUACUUUGGCAGUGGGAGUGUCCAGCGCUCGGACAAGAAACUGGUAGCCAGUACCAAGAGGAAA